UACGUAGGGUGCGAGCGUUGUCCGGAAUUAUUGGGCGUAAAGCGCGUGCAGGCGGCCUUGCAAGUCGGACGUGAAAUCCCACGGCUCAACCGUGGAAGUGCAUUCGAAACUGCGAGGCUGGAGUCCUGGAGAGGAAAGUGGAAUACUCGGUGUAGAGGUGAAAUUCGUAGAUAUCGAGUGGAACACCGGUGGCGAAGGCGGCUUUCUGGACAGGUACUGACGCUGAGACGCGAAAGCGUGGGGAGCAAACAGG
rnacentral:rRNA from 1 species